UCUCAAUCAAGGCAAUAAUCAUCAAUGACUGCUAAGAUCAUUAAGUGAAAUACAAGGAUGUUAAAGUCAAUGGAUUGGCUGACAAAAGGGGUUUCUGUGGCCACCAGUGCCUGAUCUACCUACAUGCAAGUGCUGGGCAUUGACUCUCCCAGUCUUUGUGGGAACAGCCUUCACUGGAAGACUGACAGGAGCUGGCUAUCAAUCAAUGACUGAUGAAAGUCCCCCAGU